GGGACAGGAGCUGGAAGAUCUGGAACUCUGAGUGACGCACCCACAUCUUGGCCAAGAGCCAAGCCAGAGCUCCAGUAUCAGAUUUAUGAACGGUUCAGCCUAGUAGUUUGUCAGCAAUCAUGUCAAGUCUUCCCUGCCUCAUCUCGACCUUGGUUCUCCUCACUGGUUCUUCGUCUCUCGCUUUGCCCCUGAAUGGUACCAUCCCAGACUCUGCCCUCCUGGUUUUGACCCCCACUCUGGAUUUCUGCCUCCUGCCUCGCUCCCCAUCGGUACUGUUCUGCCUUCUGACUCCUGGAUUACGACCACCGCCCGCCUGCUCCAACCACGAGAUAAGUCUGCUCCUUCUAACCUGGUUCUGCUCUCAGUCUGCCUGUGUAUGACCCCGGCCUGUCCCACGGAUUACCCCUGGACCUUUAAGUCCCAUCGGAGGUUUCUCUCCAAACACGGAAGUGUCACUGGACACCACCCGACGCUUUYCACGUCACUCAAGAGUUCACUCAGGACCAAGCGUUCUCUUAAAAGAGCUCCUGGUCCCCUUGACAUGCGCUUCCAGAUCCAGCUUCCUGUUUUUAAAUAAAACUUUUAAAACUG